ACCAUGGCAGUUCCCUGUACCAGGACUGAAAGCCCAAAUUCCUGCAUCAAAGGAGUAAGCUUGGCUGUGAUGUGGGGGUGGUACCUAAAGGAUAAGAUACUGGGUCCUUCUCCAUCUCCCUCCUCCCCUCUUUCUCUCUCUCCCUCCCUCCAUUCCUCUCCCUCGCUCCCUCCCCUUUCUCGUUUUUUUUUUCUUUUGUUUUGCACCUAGCUCAAAGAAAAGGUUUUUGGGGGCAAAAUCAGCCCUGCCAUGAUUUAGUGAAGAUGUGCAGGGGCGCUGAGAAAGUAACUCAGUAGAAAUAGUGUAGGUUAACAGGAGGUUUAGACUCUGGGCCCCACUACUGCUAAUAGACUAGCUGUGUAAACUUGGGCAAAAACCUUAAUCUCUCUGUGCCUCUUAUUCUGUCAAGUGGGGUUGGGGGAGGAGGAAGUGGUAGAUUGGAUGAAAUCCUUAAAAACAUUCUCUUUUUGAUGGAAAUGGGCUUUUAGCAACUAGUGAUGGAAAAGGCCUAGUAUGCACUAAACUUUCCUACCCACCUUCUCGGUAAGGUAGAACGGAGGCCCAGACAGAAGCUACAUGCUUGCUUGUUGUACCAAGAAAGAAGUGAGGCAGAUAUUAAGUUUAAAUCAAUAGUAUUACUUGAGCACAGAUAAUGGAACUAUUUUCCCCCAAACUGUUUUGAUUGCUGCCAGUAGCUGCUAUUUGGUAUGAAAUCCAUUCAGAUCCUCAAAAGUCAAAGGAACAUACAGUGCAUGAAAAGAUGUUGUAAUUGGCACCAUUGUAACUCUAUACGGUCUGUGAUCUUAGCUGGGAGGAAGGGAGGGUUGUCAGAUAACUUGUAAUCUAAUUUUCUUUGUUGUAAAAUAGAAUGUUACCAUUGUAUUCUUGUGGAAUUAUAAUUAUACCAUCUCAGCCAAAUAGAGCGCCUUUCUCGUCAGGUGCUUAAAGAGCUCAAUAGGCAUCCAGUCAGCCUUGUAAACAUAGUAAACCCUGGCUCGCUUGCAUUUCUGUCAACUGAAAUUUCCUAUCAGCCAGCGUGUCCCCUCAUCCUUCCUACCAGGAUAAAUGAUUUUAUGCUGGUGAACCUGACGCCCCAAGAGACACUGAAGUACCUUCUGAAUCAUCAAAGAAUUAUGAAACCUUCAGUAGAGUUUCAGGUCAUUGCUGAUAACUAGACUGCUAGCUCUAACAGUAAAGAUGAGGAAACUGGAGCACAGAGAAGUAAAGUCACUUGCCUGAAGUCUCACAGCUAUUAAAUAUCAGAAGUGGGAUUUAAAUUGAGUGGGUUUGCUGUACCAGCUAGAAUUCUGGAAAGAGAAUCAGGAAAUCUGGACCCAGUUAUUCAUCACCAUCCAUCCAACCAGCCAUCCGCUAUUCAUGGAGUCAGACAAUAAUUUGUAGAGUGCACCUAUGUGCCUGGAGUGUCUCUAAGACAAUGUGACUUGAUGACAUAAUACAAACUCUUCUAGUUCUGCUUCCUUGCAUUUAAAACUAGGUGAUAUAACAAAACUUUCUCUGUCUAUUACCAAUUGAAUGCUUUUACAGUUCUUGUAUGUGCUGACCUCCAGAUCUGACAAGGUAGGGUAAUGUUUCUCAAAGUCCAGCCUGGGUACCACCUGCAGCAGAAUCUCCUGGGUGCUUAAUAAAAAAAAAAGCAGAUCCUGAGGUUUCCCCAAAUCUUCUGAAUCAGAAACACUGGGAGUUGGGGACCAGGACUUCUGGUUUUAAACAAGCUCUCCGGGUUAUUCUCAUGCACACUUGAAGUUUGAGAUGUACAGC